rnacentral:lncRNA from 7 species
UUAUCACUGAUUAGUGGAGAGGAAGCUUCUCUGCAAGGGAGAAAUCUUCUCUCACCCACGAAGGGAGCGUUAUUAAAGCGCUGGGGAGCCCUAGUCCCGUAUGUGUAAGGGGAAGGCGCCAGGGGCUCUGUUGGAGCCAGCCUGAGUACAAGUUACCCUCAUGAAGCACCAGCAUAUGAUGUCUCUAUCUCUCUAUUAGGUGCUAAUAUUUUUGUCAUUUCUAUAUAUGACUCCAUCAUCUUUUUUGUAGUCUGUUCUAUCAAAACCCGCUAUUUCUACCUGCUCAACAAUUAGAGAGAAAAAAAAACUUGACAGUUCAUAUGUGUAGUUAUUGAGAUGCGUCAACGGAAGCAUAUUUUCAUGUUAUACGUAGAGGCCAACGGUUGUUUUGUAUGGUUUUUUUUCUUUUUUUGGAGGCAUGCGAAAAGGAUGUAUUGGAGGAAUGGUGGGGUUUGGUGGGGGAAAGCGAGAGGAGAGCCAUUUCUAGAGUGUAGAGUGUUCGUACGUCACGGCGAGCUGAAAACGAGACGGUUCGGCCUUGCGCACACGCACGCUCCAGAGAAAUACACGAGGAAAGAGAGGUGUCAACGUUGCGAGAUAAACUGGUCCUUUUAGUUGCGAUCUUUGACGCUAUGGUCCAUCUAGCUUACAAAGAAACU